rnacentral:lncRNA from 1 species
UGUUUCUGUUGUUUUUGACAUGUGCUUAAUCAACCAUCAGAGUAAUUCUCCACUGACUCUCUCCAGCCACUGGACUACAAAGAGAAUAUGUUAUUACAGAAAUCCAUUCCAACCAAGGGGAAUUUGAAGGAAGGAUACAGGAAUUUCGCUUAGAAUGCAAGAACAAUGGCAUGACCAUUUAUAUAUAGAAGAUCUGGAAGAAUCAACAUUAAAAAAA